CCUUUCUGUUUUCUUUUCUUUCUCUCGCCGUUUCCUUCUCUUCGCUCGCGCCUGCUCUCGCGUGCCCUAACCGGCGCCACACGCGGUGGUUACCUCCUCGUCCGAACAAAAGCGGUGCCCCACCUCUUCUCCGAUCCUUCUUCUCGCCACUGCCCGAAGCCCUCCUUUUCCACCCGAUCCCUUUCUCUCCUUCUCCCGACGCCGAGCAACGCCGGGCCGAUCUUCUUCCCCUGCUGCCGAAGCCCUAGCAGCACCUCUUGGUCACAGAGGUUUUUCACCGCGUCGACGCCCUCUGCCCUAGAUUUGGGCCACAGCCGCCGCCAAUUUGCCCUAGCGUCGGCGACCCGCCCCUUCACGGUGUUGCUCCUCCUCAGCCCUAGUGCCGGCACAAGGAAUUGAGUAAGACAUUUCGAUUUUGGUUAUAGGUUUGUUGAGGUUUGGAUGCGAAGUGUGUUCAUUAAUUGAGGAGUUAGAUUACACUCUAGUGAUUGGAAACUAGUGAGAGUAAUUGAUGGAGAGCUUCUCUUCAAUUCAGCAGCCUCUAGUUUCUUCACUGAACGAUUACAGUGUUGUAUUAAGAGGAUUAACUCAUUUACCGGAUUGAGGCUGUUAAUCUGUGUAGCUUGAGUGGGUGCGGAUUUGGGAAAUCAACAACUUCACCUAGCCAGGUUGUAACGACCGGCAUCGUACUUUUCGGCUGUGAGUCAUCAGUGGUGGUGUGAAUUAGGGUUGAUGCUGUCAGGAGGGAGUUCCAGUUGCUAGUCCCUGCAGAUCUCAAAGAUAUUGUUGG